GGAGUUUGGGCCGUCUCUCAGUCCCAAUGUGGCCGUUCACCCUCUCAGGCCGGCUACCGAUCGUCGCUUUGGUGGGCUCUUACCCCGCCAACUGGCUAAUCGGACGCGGACCCAUCAUACACCGUUAAGGCUUUUCACACAAAAGGAUGCCCCUUCGUGCGCUUAUGCGGUAUUAGCAGUCAUUUCUAACUGUUAUCCCCCUGUGUAUGGCAGGUUAUCCACGCGUUACUCACCCGUCCGCCACUAAGUUACAACAAGAUUUGACCGAAGUCUCCUCAGCGUUAUAACCCCGUUCGACUUGCAUGUGUUAGGCACGCCGCCAGCGUUCAUC
rnacentral:rRNA from 1 species